rnacentral:rRNA from 1 species
GACGAACGCUGGCGGCGUGCUUAACACAUGCAAGUCGAACGGGCUUCUGGGGUUCUGGCUUUUUUGGUUGGGGUUCUGGGGGUUAGUGGCGAACGGGUGAGUAACACGUGAGUAACCUGCCCUUCACUUCUGGAUAACCGCUUGAAAGGGUGGCUAAUACGGGAUGUUUCUGGGUCUGUCGCAUGGCGGGUUCGGGAAAGAUGGCACUGUUUGGUGUUUUUGGUGGGGGAUGGGCUCGCGGCCUAUCAGCUUGUUGGUGGGGUGAUGGCCUGCCAAGGCUUUGACGGGUAGCCGGCCUGAGAGGGUGGGCGGUCACACUGGGACUGAGAUACGGCCCAGACUCCUACGGGAGGCAGCAGUGGGGAAUAUUGCACAAUGGGCGGAAGCCUGAUGCAGCGACGUCGCGUGAGGGAUGGAGGCCUUCGGGUUGUGAACCUCUUUCGCCAGUGAGGAGGGCCUUGCCCGUGUGGUGGGGUUGACGGUAGCUGGGUUAAUUGAAGCGCCGGCUAACUACGUG